UUACACAGCACACGAUCUUUCUUUAGUUCCUUGGGCACCGCCGCGAUCUGAUUAUACUUCUUGGUCUGUCUUUUGCAUAAUAAAAAAAAACAUGCAUGCUUAGAAAUCUGAUGAUACUACCUUUUGCCGUCAGCAGUUGACUUCAGUUCCCAUUCUGUCGGUGUCGGCGUCGGCGUUUAUGCGGUCCAUCGGUGGAGAUUAGCGAACCAAGAUUUGCCUAUUAAUUAAAUUUGGAUUUAAUUGUAU
rnacentral:lncRNA from 1 species